UACGGAGGGAGCUAGCGUUGUUCGGAAUUACUGGGCGUAAAGCGUACGUAGGCGGUUAUUCAAGUCAGAGGUGAAAGCCUGGAGCUCAACUCCAGAACUGCCUUUGAAACUAGAUAGCUAGAAUCUUGGAGAGGUUAGUGGAAUUCCGAGUGUAGAGGUGAAAUUCGUAGAUAUUCGGAAGAACACCAGUGGCGAAGGCGACUAACUGGACAAGUAUUGACGCUGAGGUACGAAAGCGUGGGGAGCAAAC
rnacentral:rRNA from 1 species